rnacentral:miRNA from 1 species
GUUGGUGCAAAAGUAAUUGCGGUUUUUGCCAUUGAAAAUAAUGACAGAAACCGAUUACUUUUGCACCAA